ACAUGAUGACUCGACAACACGAUCAUUUAACAGCAACAUCUGAUAGACAUCAAACCGUCUUGACGUGAACGCGUUUACAAUUUUUCUGACAG
rnacentral:snoRNA from 1 species